rnacentral:rRNA from 1 species
AUUGAACGCUGGCGGCAUGCCUUACACAUGCAAGUCGAACGGCAGCAUGAUCUAGCUUGCUAGAUUGAUGGCGAGUGGCGAACGGGUGAGUAAUACAUCGGAACGUGCCCUGUAGUGGGGGAUAACUAGUCGAAAGAUUAGCUAAUACCGCAUACGACCUGAGGGUGAAAGUGGGGGACCGCAAGGCCUCAUGCUAUAGGAGCGGCCGAUGUCUGAUUAGCUAGUUGGUGAGGUAAAGGCUCACCAAGGCGACGAUCAGUAGCUGGUCUGAGAGGACGAUCAGCCACACUGGGACUGAGACACGGCCCAGACCCCUACGGGAGGCAGCAGUGGGGAAUUUUGGACAAUGGGCGAAAGCCUGAUCCAGCAAUGCCGCGUGUGUGAAGAAGGCCUUCGGGUUGUAAAGCACUUUUGUCCGGAAAGAAAUGGCUCUGGUUAAUACCUGGGGUCGAUGACGGUACCGGAAGAAUAAGGACCGGCUAACUACGUG